UCCUCUUCAGUCGUGCUUCAAGAGCGAUUGACGCCUUGAGCAUGUUAGUGUUCCUACGUUGCAUGCCUAACGUGACGGAAAUUGGCCCCGGAUGAGUCCCAAGUUUUGCCUCUCACCGAUUCGUGGUGUUAGGUUGACGCGGAAGUAGUGCCCAUUCUCCUUGAUUGCUCCGCCUUUUUUGCGUUGCAAUNGUGGCCCAUGGGUUGCUACUAGUUCCCUCGGAUGCAGAACCUUUGAGGGGUGCACAGUAUGUUGCUGUUGUUUACCCCCAAGGGCAUUAAUCGAUCGAUGCGUAUGACAGCUGUGCCCGUUUUGGUCCCAUCUCCAACUUGUUUGGAUGGGGCUCAUGCGGUGCUAGCGUCGCAAAAGAAUGCUACCUGGUUGAUCCUGCCAGUAGUCAUAUGCUUGUCUCAA
rnacentral:misc_RNA from 1 species